UUACGACCAUAUCACGUUGAAACACCAGUUCCCGUACGAUUACUGAAGUUAAGUAACAUCGAGCUUGGCCAGUACCGAGUGACUGCUUCGGAAUACCAGGUGAUGCAAG